UACGUAGGGUGCAAGCGUUGUCCGGAAUUAUUGGGCGUAAAGAGCUCGUAGGCGGUUUGUCGCGUCUGGUGUGAAAACUCAAGGCUCAACCUUGAGCUUGCAUCGGGUACGGGCAGACUAGAGUGUGGUAGGGGUGACUGGAAUUCCUGGUGUAGCGGUGGAAUGCGCAGAUAUCAGGAGGAACACCGAUGGCGAAGGCAGCUGCCUGGCCUAGAACUGACGCUGAGGUGCGAAAGCGUGGGGAGCGAACAGG
rnacentral:rRNA from 1 species